rnacentral:misc_RNA from 1 species
AAGUCGUAACAAGGUUUCCGUAGGUGAACCUGCGGAAGGAUCAUUAACACGUAUCCACGUAUCACCAAUUGUGCAUUCGUUAUUUUCUCCCUGUGACUUCACAUGCAUUGGAACUUGUACGAGCUUUGAAUGGGACCUGCAAAGGCCAGCUCGGCAUGCUCACAUUUGACACGGCUUCGGCUGCGUCAGACAAUGGUAGUGUCGCACAGGUCACCUCCUCUCGCUCAAGCCCUUCAACUUGGGCGAGUAGGAAAUUCUACACAUCAAUCACCCCUUUUUGCUAGUUGACUUUUUUAAUGAUGGGUUAGUCAUUCAUUUGAUUUUCUCACACGUUUCUUAAUUGAACGUAAAAUACAACUCUUAGCAAUGGAUAUCUAGGUUCUC